UCUAUUGAUUUCAGGGUUUGUGCUUCUAAUCCUCAUUGUUUUGAUUUUCAAUUUUAGGUUUUGCCAUCAAAAAACAUGUCUUAUUGCUUAUUUCUGACCACUGUGAAUCGUAUCCCUUGCAAGCUUAUUAUAAGAGUAUUUGAAAGAAGAAAACACUCAGAUCCUGCAACAACAAACAAAUUACAUGAGUUUCAAUUUUUCAAUCUCUUCUUAUUGUUGAUUUAAGGAUUGCAAUCAUGGUGUUUGGAACAAACUUCAUAGGUAAAGCAAACUGGAAGCCCUUACUUUCGGUCAACAAAAUGAUGCAAACACUCUAACAUUUUCUCAAUAUGAUGCAAUUGUUGCUGAACCUGAACAAGAACCAAAAUCAUAUGGAAACUCACCACUUCCCUUAGCUGUAGAUAGAACAAGAAGAAAAGAUCCUUUAGAUGGCUUCAUUGUAUACACUAAUGAAUGGAAUAUAAGUGACCACCAUUAUUGUGUUGUAAGUAAC